CGUAGGGGGCAAGCGUUGUCCGGAUUUAUUGGGCGUAAAGAGCGUGUAGGCGGCUAGGUAGGUCCGUUGUGAAAACUCGAGGCUCAACCUCGAGCUGUCGAUGGAAACCAUCUAGCUAGAGUCCGGAAGAGGAGAGUGGAAUUCCUGGUGUAGCGGUGAAAUGCGCAGAUAUCAGGAAGAACACCCGUGGCGAAGGCGGCUCUCUGGUACGUGACUGACGCUGAGACGCGAAAGCGUGGGGAGCGAACAGGAUUAGAUACCCUGGUAGUCCACGCCGUAAACGAUGGGUGCUAGGUGUGGGCGGUGUCGACUCCGUCCGUGCCGAAGCUAACGCAUUAAGCACCCCGCCUGGGGAGUACGGCCGCAAGGCUA
rnacentral:rRNA from 1 species